UGGAGCUCGGAUGCGUUGCUGUGAUAGAGCCUGUGCCCGAGACCCUCCGUGACUGCUGUCUGCCAGGCAACACAUUUUGUGCUGCACAGGCAGACAGUCAAACCAGGCACUGUGCUUGUCACUCUGGAUAAAGCCUUUCAGUGACAACCCAACUGAUACAGGACUAAGCAGAGUAAAAUAUUUGAUAAUGAGAAGUGAUCUCAAUGGUGAGGAGUAGAGCAAAGGAAACCAGAAAAGAAACCAUCUAAGAGAUAUGUGAGCAACGGAAAUACCUGUCACAAAUCCCACGCCCUUCCACGCUCUGAGCUCCUGGGAGAGGGCCUGAGGGCCCCCCUCACUAGCUUUACUUCUACAUUCGAUGUAAUUCUCAUAGCAAACUGGAAGCCAGUGAUAGCAAAGAGAGAAAACGGAUCCUGUUAGAGUCCUGCGGCUGGACGCGGCCAGAAGUGACAGAGAGCCAACGGUGAUAAAGGAAACCGAUAAAUCAGAACGGCAGGGAAAAUAACUCAUCACCCUUUAUCAGUGUGGGGAAAAGAAAAUAGUGGCGCAAAGUGCAAGAUUUGGUGUUUACAUUAAUAAUGCUCUGAUACUAAGGAAAUGAUAUCUGUGCAAGGAAGACAAGCGAUGUAUUCUAGAAAGUGUUCCAGCAGCAAAGGAUAAACUAUUUUCAGUUUGGUCAUUUUGAACAUUCACUCAUGGGCAACGCUCAUUUCUCAGACUGGUCUGCAUAGAUAACAAAGGAGCAGUGGAAAACCAUAGUUAAAGGAGUGGAUAUGGUAGCCAGCCUGCCUGGGUUCAAAUUCCAGCCAUAACACCUACUCCCUGUGAAACGCUGGGCAACUCCACCUCUCCGAAUCUCAGUUCCUAAACUGUAAAAUGGGUGGCAGGAAGGAUUUAAUGAGCUCAUGUGUGUAAAGCACUAGAAGAGGGCCUGUCACACAGUAAGCACUAGGUAAGUGUUCUCUGGAAAGAAAUUCACAUUUACUGAGCACUUACUGUGUGCCAGGUACUGAGUGUGAGCUGUCCUCUUUAUCAUUUUAUCCUAUAAGCUGCUACUAUAUGAAGUAUAGUAUAAUAUCAGAAUUUAGUCUUAAAUAUUCCUCAAGCCCAAAGUAAUUGAUGACAAAGAACGAUCAACUCUAAGACAAGUCAGCAAGGUCUAUUAAAUCUAACAUUCAUUUAACUUGUUUUCUGCUAUAGUAAACUUUUUUCUUAAAUUUUCUUAAAAAUUUACAUCCAUUUAGUUUAGCUACUAUUCUCUCUGUGAAGUGGCCUCUUAAUUUUGCAUGUAUAUUCAUCAUCUUUUCUGCAAUGAUUUCAGCUUAGUUACCAUUUUAGACCUCAAGGAUCCAAUUAUCUGGGAAUAUGAGGAUAGGCAUUAAAUUCAUCUGUGGGUACGCACUGCAACGAUUUGCAAGAUAAAAGCAGUGUUGAAACAAAAGUUCUGGGUCCCUAAUAAUGUCAAGAAGAAAUAUGCAAUCAUUGCCGAGCAAAAGCACUGGAAAUCUGCCUUUUGAAAUAGGCCUACAAAAACCAAAUAGGUAUAGAAAUAAAGUACUGUAAGUAGAAAUGUGACAUUUUUGAGUAUCAAAAAAUUUAUUUUCAACACCUACAAAAUGCCUGACCAGUACUCUUUAAAACUAUCAAGGAAUGACUGAGAAACUGUCACUAAUUAGAGGAGAAACAGGAAGCAUGAUGACAGAAUGUAAUGUAGUGUCCUGGACUGGAUCCUGGAACAGAAAAAGUCAUUAAUAAAAAGCAGAUGCAAUUUGAAUAAGGA